AACAGUGCUGCUGCUUUUAGGAAAACUAAUAUGGACGACUUUAUUAUAGUGACGGGAUACUGGUGUGAAGAAAGUUUGAAGUCUCUGAAAGUUCAUUUUCAUAUCAUAGUGGGAUGAACGGAAAUCAAUGGCCGGAUAAAAG